rnacentral:rRNA from 1 species
AGAUUGAACGCUGGCGGCAUGCCUAACACAUGCAAGUCGAACGGGAGUAGCAAUACUCUAGUGGCGGACGGGUGAGGAAUACGUAGGAAUUUGCCCUUAAGUGGGGGAUAACCCGGGGAAACCCGGAUUAAUACCGCAUGACCUCGAAAGAGCAAAGUGGGGGAUCGCAAGACCUCACGCUUUUGGAGAAGCCUACGUCGGAUUAGCUAGUUGGUGAGGUAAUGGCUCACCAAGGCGACGAUCCGUAACUGGUCUGAGAGGAUGAUCAGUCACACCCGAACUGAGACACGGUCCGGACUCCUACGGGAGGCAGCAGUGGGGAAUAUUGGACAAUGGGCGCAAGCCUGAUCCAGCAAUGCCGCGUGUGUGAAGAAGGCCUUGGUUGUAAAGCACGUUUAAGGUUUAGGGAAGAAAAAACGUCGACUACUUAACACAGUAGAGUUACUUGACGGUUACCGAC